UCUUAACCACUGGACUACCAGGGAAGUCCUAAACAUGGUUAACUUUCCGAAUACAAAUUUGCAAGGUGUAAGCAGUAUUUUUUUUUUAAGUGUAAGCAUUUAUUGUUUUGUUUGCUAAAGCAUCAUUCAGUAAGUUUUCACUUCACAAAAAAAGAUCAGAGACUUGGCUUCUUGACUCCCCAGUCCUGGGAUAUCAUGAGGCAAACUGGCAAAGUGGAGAAAAGAGCAAAUGGAGAAUAAUUGACCUGAGAGGUCCCCCAGGGGGGUCCCUCAAACCACUGCACAGAACAGCAUCCUGAUGAAGAGUACCGGGUCUGGGACAGACGGCCAAAUUUGGCUCUGGAGCAGGUUGCUUGGCCUCUCUAACUGGGAGCCUCUUCAACUGUGCGCUGGAAAUAGCAGGUGUACCCACCGCAGGAGAGCUGGCAUGGAGAAGGAAAUCCUUUAUCUGUGUUCUGGGCCGUCGUGACAUUUGGAUGAGGUCGAGCAAGGAAGGAGGCUGUCUUUGGGGCAGACAAAGUGCACAGCCCCACUUUGACACACCCUUGGAAGCCAUCUCCUGCCUGCUGUUCUGGGCUCUCAUUGCAUCCGUGGCCCUUUCUCCCCAACCUGGAGACAGCUGGAUGCGAGCUCCUGCCCGGCCCACCACAACCCCUGGCUGCCUCCCUCUGAGGAAAUAAAACCAAGUCAAGCAUCCCACCCAAACCUCAG
ensembl:lncRNA